UCUACGGGUGGCUGCAGUGAGGAAUAUUGGUCAAUGGCCGGAAGGCUGAACCAGCCAUGCCGCGUGAAGGUCAGUGCCCUAUGGGCGUUAAACUUCUUUUGUGCGGGAGCAAUAAUGGUCACGUGUGGCCAGACGAGAGUACCGUACGAAUAAGCAUCGGCUAACUCCGUGCCAGCAGCCGCGGUAAUACGGGGGAUGCAAGCGUUAUCCGGAUUUAUUGGGUUUAAAGGGUGCGUAGGCUGUGAGGUAAGUCAGCGGUGAAAUGCCCCCGCUCAACGGGGUGAAGGGCCAUUGAUACUGCCUUGCUGGAAUGCGGAUGCCGUGGGAGGAAUGUGUGGUGUAGCGGUGAAAUGCAGAGAUAUCACACAGAACACCGAUUGCGAAGGCAGCUUUCCAAGCUAUUACUGACGCUGAGGCACGAAAGCGUGGGGAGCGAACAGGAUUAGAUACCCUUGUAGUC
rnacentral:rRNA from 1 species